AUUGAACGCUGGCGGCAGGCCUAACACAUGCAAGUCGAGCGCGAAAAUUCCUUCGGGGAUGAGUAGAGCGGCGGACGGGUGAGUAAUGCGCAGAAAUCUGCCCAGUAGUGGGGGACAACCUGGUGAAAACCAGGCUAAUACCGCAUACGCCUACCGGGGAAGGACAGGGAGUCUUCGGUACCUUGCGCUAUUGGAUGAGUCUGCGUCGGAUUAGCUUGUUGGUGAGGUAAUGGCUCACCAAGGCGACGAUCCGUAGCUGGUCUGAGAGGAUGAUCAGCCACACUGGGACUGAGACACGGCCCAGACUCCUACGGGAGGCAGCAGUGGGGAAUAUUGGACAAUGGGCGAAAGCCUGAUCCAGCCAUGCCGCGUGUGUGAAGAAGGCUCUAGGGUUGUAAAGCACUUUCAGUGGGGAAGAAAGCUUGUUAGCUAAUAACUGACGAGUGUGACAUUACCCAC
rnacentral:rRNA from 1 species